rfam:Carnobacterium divergens DSM 20623 NODE_90, whole genome shotgun sequence.
AUUCGUCUUCAGGGGCAGGGUGAAAUUCCCGACCGGUGGUAAAGUCCACGAACUGAUUGUUUCGGCAAUUGGUUGAAUUGGUGUAAUUCCAAUACCGACAGUAAAGUCUGGAUAAAGAAGAUGGGG